UACGUAGGGCGCAAGCGUUGUCCGGAAUUAUUGGGCGUAAAGAGCUCGUAGGCGGUCUGUUACGUCUGCUGUGAAAACCCGGGGCUUAACCCUGGGCUUGCAGUGGAUACGGGCAGACUAGAGGCAGGUAGGGGAGAAUGGAAUUCCCGGUGUAGCGGUGAAAUGCGCAGAUAUCGGGAGGAACACCGGUGGCGAAGGCGGUUCUCUGGGACGUUACUGACGCUGAGACGCGAAAGCGUGGGGAGCAAACAGG
rnacentral:rRNA from 1 species